rnacentral:rRNA from 1 species
UACGAAGGGGGCGAGCGUUGUUCGGAUUUACUGGGCGUAAAGGGCGCGCAGGCGGCGAUCUUUGUCAGGCGUGAAAGCCCCGGGCUUAACCUGGGAACUGCGCUUGGGACGGGAUUGCUGGAGACCGGGAGAGGAGAGUGGAAUUCCCAGUGUAGAGGUGAAAUUCGUAGAUAUUGGGAAGAACACCGGUGGCGAAGGCGGCUCUCUGGACCGGAUCUGACGCUGAGGCGCGAAAGCUAGGGGAGCAAACAGG